CACGUAGGGCGCAAGCGUUGUCCGGAAUUAUUGGGCGUAAAGAGCUCGUAGGCGGACUGUUGCGUCCGCUGUGAAAAGCUGGGGCUUAACCCUGGCCUUGCAGUGGAUACGGGCAGACUAGAGGUAGGUAGGGGAGAAUGGAAUUCCCGGUGUAGCGGUGAAAUGCGCAGAUAUCGGGAGGAACACCGGUGGCGAAGGCGGAUCUCUGGGCCUGUCCUGACGCUGAGGCGCGAAAGCUAGGGGAGCGAACAGG
rnacentral:rRNA from 1 species